GGGGGCAGUGGAGCCUGGGCUGGGUGGCGGAAGCGGUGGAGGGCUGGGGAGAGGGGCAGUGGAGCCCGGCUGGGGGGAGGUAGAGGGGGGCAGUGGGGGGCUGGGGAGGUAGGGGAGGUAGAGGGGGCAGUGGAGCCUGGGCUGGGGGAGGUAGAGGGGGCAGUGGAGCCUGGGCUGGGGGAGGUAGAGGGGGCAGUGGAGCCUUGGCUGGGGGAGGUAGAGGGGGCAGUGGAGCCUGGGCUGGGGGAGCAGUGGAGCGCUGUAAGUACUCGGGGGAGCUCUGGGAUCUGCAGCUUCGAUCCAGUAAGGAGCAGCGUUGCUUUCCUAAUACCUGAUCCUCACCGAGCUCCCUCCGUUUUAUAGAGCUCCAGCUGUCUCCGCCGAUCCCAGGGCAAGGAUUGGCUGAUACUCU
rnacentral:lncRNA from 1 species